rnacentral:lncRNA from 1 species
GGCGGUGGACCGGAGAUCUCCCUCCGCUCCAGCUCCGAUUGAUGAUCCCCCCACCCAACUUCUUCCGCCAAGUGUUACUCGGGUGUUCCCUCCCCUCCCCUGUGGCCUGAGAGCUGUGCUGCAGAGCCCAAGAGAAGUCGUUGGUGCAGACAGCCUUGGAUUGGAUGUGGAAUGAGGCGAUGGCAUCUGACGGAUCAUCAUCCUCUAC